rnacentral:lncRNA from 1 species
CUAUAUAGGGAAUAGGGCCCUGGUCUAUAUGGGAAUAGGGCCCUGGUCUAAAGUAGUGUCCUAUAUAUAGGGAAUAGGGCCCUGGUCUAUAUAGGGAAUAGGGCCCUGGUCUAAAGUAGUGUUCUCUAUAUAGGGAAUAGGGCUCUGGUCUAUAUAGGGAAUAGGGCCCUGGUCUAAAGUAGUGUCCUCUAUAUAGGGAAUAGGGCCCUGGUCUAUAUAGGGAAUAGGGCCCUGGUCUAAAGUAGUGGCCCUGGUCUAUAUAGGGAAUAGGGCCCUGGUCUAAAGUAGUGUCCUAUAUAGGGAAUAGGGCCCUGGUCUAAAGUAGUGUUCUCU